CCUACGGGUGGCUGCAGUGGGGAAUAUUGCACAAUGGGCGCAAGCCUGAUGCAGCAACACCGCGUGCGGGAUGACGGCCUUCGGGUUGUAAACCGCUUUCAGUGGGGACGAAGUGAAAAUGACGGUACCCACAGAAGAAGCACCGGCUAACUACGUGCCAGCAGCCGCGGUGAUACGUAGGGUGCGAGCGUUGUCCGGAUUUAUUGGGCGUAAAGAGCUUGUAGGCGGUUUGUCACGUCGGAAGUGAAAUCUUGGGGCUCAACCCCAAGCCUGCUUUCGAUACGGGCUGACUUGAGGAAGGUAGGGGAGAAUGGAAUUCCCGGUGGAGCGGUGGAAUGCGCAGAUAUCGGGAGGAACACCAGUGGCGAAGGCGGUUCUCUGGACCUUUCCUGACGCUGAGAAGCGAAAGCGUGGGUAGCAAACAGGCUUAGAUACCCCAGUAGUC
rnacentral:rRNA from 1 species